rnacentral:rRNA from 1 species
GAUGAACGCUGGCGGCGUGCCUAAUACAUGCAAGUCGAGCGAACAGACGAGGAGCUUGCUCCUCUGACGUUAGCGGCGGACGGGUGAGUAACACGUGGAUAACCUACCUAUAAGACUGGGAUAACUUCGGGAAACCGGAGCUAAUACCGGAUAAUAUAUUGAACCGCAUGGUUCAAUAGUGAAAGACGGUUUUGCUGUCACUUAUAGAUGGAUCCGCGCCGCAUUAGCUAGUUGGUAAGGUAACGGCUUACCAAGGCAACGAUGCGUAGCCGACCUGAGAGGGUGAUCGGCCACCCUGGAACUGAGACACGGUCCAGACUCCUACGGGAGGCAGCAGUAGGGAAUCUUCCGCAAUGGGCGAAAGCCUGACGGAGCAACGCCGCGUGAGUGAUGAAGGUCUUCGGAUCGUAAAACUCUGUUAUUAGGGAAGAACAAAUGUGUAAAUAACUAUGCACGUCUUGACGGUACCUAAUCAGAAAGCCACGGCUAACUACGUG